CCUACGGGGGGCAGCAGUGAGGAAUAUUGGUCAAUGGGCGCGAGCCUGAACCAGCCAAGUCGCGUGAGGGAAGACGGUCCUACGGUUUGUAAACCUCUUUUGUCGGGGAGCAAAAGAGGCCACGCGUGGCGUUCCGAGAGUACCCGAAGAAAAAGCAUCGGCUAACGCCGUGCCAGCAGCCGCGGUAAUACGGAGGAUGCGAGCGUUGUCCGGAUUUAUUGGGGUUAAGGGGUGCGUAGGCGGGGUUUCAAGUCAGCGGUAAAAAUGCGGGGCUCAACCCCGUACGGCCGUUGAAACUGGGGGCCUUGAGUGGGCGAGAAGAAGGCGGAAUGCGUGGUGUAGCGGUGAAAUGCAUAGAUAUCACGCAGAACCCCGAUUGCGAAGGCAGCCUUCCGGCGCGCUACUGACGCUGAGGCACGAAAGCGCGGGGAUCGAACAGGAUUAGAUACCCUUGUAGUC
rnacentral:rRNA from 1 species